AUGCAAUCUCUGCCAUCACAAGAAAAAUUACCAGAUUUGGUCAUAAUGAGAUGCGUUGCCAUGCUCGCUAUUGCCGCCGUGGUUCUGGCGUGCGCCCUUCAAGCUGAGGCCCAGUGGGGCGGGGGCGUACCAAAACCUAGGAGGAUCGGCCGCCCGUUGAACGGCCGGCUCCGCCCCCUGUUGAACGGCCGGCUCCGCCCCCUGCCUCCGAUGUCUCCCGUUAUCUAUCCCGCACCGUAUCCAGUGAACCCCGCCGGAGAGGAUGUCGAUUCCGAUGCGCUAGGCCUCUUCAUUUCCUUUCUUCUGAAAGACCACCCACUGGGCCUUGUCUUUGAUCUUCUUAGAGUCUACGGAAUAUUGUAAUUACUUAUCACGUACAUAGACCGAAGAUGUGAGGAGUUUAUCACUAUUAUUUAUACCAUGAAGCCGCGGUACACGGCCCCAACUUCUGCUGCCGCUUUGCUAAUGCUGUUGUUCUGUUUUAUUAAAUAAAA